rnacentral:rRNA from 1 species
UACAGAGGGUGCAAGCGUUGCUCGGAAUCAUUGGGCGUAAAGGGUAGGUAGGUGGUCUCAUUUGUCUGGGGUGAAAGCCCAGGGCUUAACCCUGGAAGUGCCCCGGAAACGGUGAGACUGGAGUACUGGAGAGGGUCGUGGGAAUUCCCGGUGUAGCGGUGAAAUGCGUAGAGAUCGGGAGGAACACCAGAGGCGAAGGCGGCGACCUGGACAGUAACUGACACUCAACUACGAAAGCGUGGGGAGCAAACAGG